CAUUCUUCCCUCUGAGCAUUAUUCAUCCGUCCAGUUCACACCCUUUUGAAAAAGCCAGCUGGAUGACAUUAAUCUCUCCUCAGACAAUUGACAAUUAUGUGUGAUUUCAUAACCUCAUGUGAAGUGCUAGGCUUCCGGCCUGGGCACCUCAGGGCAGGGUGCUCACCUUUUCCAGGAUUUAAGUCCACUGGGGACUUGCAAGUUUCCCCACCAGCACCAAAUGGACAGACUCCCCACGUUACCACUGAGCUAUCUCCAUCAGAUGCCAAGUUGCUGUUAUAAACGAUAUGCUGCUCCAUCUUCCAGUUUCCUCUAUGCCCUGGGCUCAUCACCUGUGGCUGCACCAAUCCAUGCAGCCUCAUUGGUAGGGCUUCCGGAGGACGUUAGAGCUUCAGGAAAGGAACUGGUGCUCCUCUUUUUCAAAAUCGCUUGACCUUACAUUUACUUCUGUCGGGGUCUCGCAAAUGUAGAGUGAGCCGGUGACUACGUUUUGAAAACAGUGCUACGGCCGUUACUAGCUUUAUACAUUCAUUCAUAGGUAUUUGCUGUUAAACUUUAUCACCAGGGCUUUUCCUGAAAGUCUUCCCUCGGGCAGUUUGAGGGUGACUUUUCAUCAUUGGCAUCAUUGGACUGACUGAUCAAAACGCCCUGAUUAAGUAAAACUCAUGAUUUCUUGACUAUCUGUUUUUCUUGGGUCUUUAUUGUUCUGGGUAUCUCCAUACACACGACGGUUCCAUGUAUGACACCGAUUUACCCUCACAGUCAGUCCUAUUAAAGUAUCGCCUGCCUCCCUGCGUUCUCCUUCAGGCGACCAUCCAGAACUCAGUGCACAAGUCCAGUUGUAGAUGCAGUCAUCUAAUUCAUCAAACAUAAGUAUCGUAUUGUUUGCCUGUUCUGGGUCAUUGAGGAAUCAAAGGACAAGGAAAUGCUUAACUAAGAUCUGUGUUAGCCCAGCACCCUCAACCCAAAGUGGCACAACUCACGUACAGACAGGACUGUUGGCUAAUACAGCCUGUUCAUAAGAAAGCAUAAGGAAGUCUGAACAAUGCCUCACUUCCUAACAAAGUAUAGUCUUGCCCUGCUGACAAAGCCUUCUGCUCUCUGACUUCCUUAUUGAAGAUGAGCUGGUCUCUCGUCGGCUACCACCCUCCGUGACCUUAUGCAGACAUAUGUGUAAACUGUAUUUCUUGCUUAAUUAAAAAACCCUUUACUCUGUGUGAUUGUGUGUGUGUCCGUGUUGGGAAACACAUACCAUGGCCCUGAGGAGGUUCUCCUUGCUGUAUGGGUUCUGAGAGUCAGACUGGGGUGUCAGGCUUGGCAGCAAGCACCUUGGCCUAAGAUUCUAGUCUUCACAAAGGACUGUCUUUUCAAUCUCCAAAGCUGUGGCCUCAGAA
rnacentral:lncRNA from 1 species